rnacentral:misc_RNA from 1 species
AUCUUGCUUCUAUUUUUUCCAAAUAAACAUGGCUUUGAAAUACUUACUUGUCCUCGAGGUUUGUGUGUUUGCUGCCUUUGGCGGACUUUCUGAUCUCUUUCUGGAUAAAGAAUGGGAAGAAUUUAAGCGGAUCUACAGUAAAACCUAUACAAAACAAGAAGAAAACAGAAGGAAAUCAAUCUGGUUGAAGAAUAUAGACAUCAUCAAUAAACACAAUAUUAAGGUGGACAUGGGUUAUCAUAGCUAUAGACUGGGCAUGAACAAGUUUGGGGACAUGAUGAGUAACGAAGUCACCUCACCCAUGAAUGGAUCUAGAGGAUUCCCUAUGUUCAAUAGCAGCAUGUUUCUUCCCCCAGGCAAUUUAAGACUGCCAUACACUGUCAACUGGACAAAAAAGGGUUAUGUGACCCCCGUAAAAGAUCAGGUUUCUUUGUUCUUGUUUGAAAUACCUUUAUUUAUUAUAAUGUCUGAAAUUUAUUUGAUACGGAGUGAAGUUUUAUUAUCAUUUUCAGCAUGUAUUUUUAAUAAGUAAAUUGGAUUAUAUAUAAAAUGAAUGGUUAAAACUUCAUUUAGGAAUUUAAAUAAAAAAUUAAAUAAAAAUACUCAAAUAAAUAUAAAGUUACUUUCUCAUUAUAUAGGGUUUUUGUCUAUCCUGCUGGGCUUUUGCAGCCACUGGGGGAUUAGAAGGGCAACAUUUUCGAAAAACAAAGAAAUUAGUCCGCCUUUCAGAGCAGAAUUUGGUCGACUGUAGCAAAGGUUUAUUUUAUGGAAGAUGAGAUACUGUUUUCACCGGUUGAUUAAUCCAUUUAGCCAUUUCUUGCAUUCAUCAAUUGACACAUUGCUGUCAAUAACCUAAUCUAAUGCUAAGGUAAAAAUAUGUUUAGAAAACCUGGGAUGUACAGCUGGAACUCCUGAAAAUGCUUUAAACUAUAUUGCAAGAAAUGGAGGACUUGACACAGAGGUAUCAUAUCCUUAUGUUGGAAAGAAUGGGAGGUGUAGAUUUCGGCCAACAGAAGUCGGUGCCAACUGUCAGGGAAUUGUCCGCGUCCCUGCAGGGGAUGAGUUGAGUCUUCAGAAAGCAGUAGCUAGUAUUGGUCCAAUAGUAGUGAGUUUGGACGCCAGUAAAAGGUCGUUUAAACAAUACAGGAAUGGAGUGUAUGACGACAAAGCAUGUAGUAAAAAGCUGAUCACCCAUUAUGCUUUGAUUGUUGGAUACGGAGAAUUUCAAAACAAAAAAUACUGGCUCAUAAAAAACAGUUGGGGGACUUCUUGGGGAAUGGACGGCUAUAUGAUGUUAGCUCGAAAUCAAGACAACAUGUGUGGAAUAGCAAACCAAGCUAUAUACCCGUCUGUAUAGGACAUUGACGAUAUCAACAAAUCAACAUUAUAACUCAAUACAAAAAUUUAAAAAUAGAAAAUAUUACGACUGUUAAUGAGAGAAACAUGGAGUGUUGUCAUUUCUUUCAUUCUUUCAGUUGUUUAAAAUGCUUAAUAAUCGUUUCAAUUCAAACUUGUAUGGUGGUUUUGUAUUCUUUUCCAUAUUUUAAUUAUAAUUGAAAUAUAUUAAUAAAGAAUGUACUAGUU